GAUGAACGCUGGCGGCGUGCCUAAUACAUGCAAGUCGAGCGAACAGACGAGGAGCUUGCUCCUCUGACGUUAGCGGCGGACGGGUGAGUAACACGUGGAUAACCUACCUAUAAGACUGGGAUAACUUCGGGAAACCGGAGCUAAUACCGGAUAACAUGUUGAACCGCAUGGUUCAACAGUGAAAGACGGUCUUGCUGUCACUUAUAGAUGGAUCCGCGCCGCAUUAGCUAGUUGGUAAGGUAACGGCUUACCAAGGCAACGAUGCGUAGCCGACCUGAGAGGGUGAUCGGCCACACUGGAACUGAGACACGGUCCAGACUCCUACGGGAGGCAGCAGUAGGGAAUCUUCCGCAAUGGGCGAAAGCCUGACGGAGCAACGCCGCGUGAGUGAAGAAGGUCUUCGGAUCGUAAAACUCUGUUAUUAGGGAAGAACAAAUGUGUAAGUAACUAUGCACGUCUUGACGGUACCGAAGCAGAAAGCCACGGCUAACUACGU
rnacentral:rRNA from 1 species